rnacentral:lncRNA from 1 species
AGACCGCCUGGCCUUGGGUGGAUCGGGUCUCUGGGCAGAGCGUGUGUCCGGCAGAGCUAGGACCGGAAAAAGCCACUCUAGGUCUAGGUUAGGAGUGAUGACAGUUAAAAGAUAUAUAAGGAAAAGAAGGAAAGGAUCGUUUCUGUAUAAAACGAGCUAUUUUUGCAUAUCGAGCGCAUAAGUUUUAUAACUUAGGUGUCUGUUUAUGGAGAGGGUGGGAUACUACCUUUUAGCUCAAGGAGUGCACAAAACGGUAUCAUGAAUUCUGCUCUUUUGAUUCAAACACCCAACUUUGAAGAAUCGCUCAUGGUGCUUGUAAAACACGUAUCCCCAGAUCCCUCCCUAGACCUAUCGAACAACUCCAACGGUCUCGGGAAUGUGCGUGGUUUCUGAAAAGCUUGGGAAGCAAGACCUGACUAGACCCCCAAAUCUGAUAUUGGCUGAAUGGCCGACCAAUGGAGUGCAUAAGAAGUCUGGAUACAAAGGCAGCCCAAUUUCUAGAAAUGUAUACCAGCCAUGAAGAGAUAAAGCUCCAAGAGGAGAUUUCUCUUUCUGGUAUAAGGAUUUAAACAAAACCUAGAAUGUCGCAGUACUCGAAGUAUCCAAAACAACUGAAAAAUGAAGAAGAAUAAAAGAAGAAUCCAAAAGUAUCCAAAAUAACUGAACAUAUGAAGAAUCAUG